rnacentral:sRNA from 1 species
AAGCGUUUCCGGUGGCGGCGGAGGCUGCACUGAGCGGGACCUGCGAGCAGCGCGGGCGGCAGCCCGGGGGAAGCGUCCGGGACCAUGUCUGGAGAACUACCACCAAACAUUAACAUCAAGGAACCUCGAUGGGAUCAAAGCACUUUCAUUGGACGAGCCAAUCAUUUCUUCACUGUAACUGACCCCAGGAACAUUCUGUUAACCAACGAACAACUCGAGAGUGCGAGAAAAAUAGUACAUGAUUACAGGUAACAUUAAUUAUUGUUUUUUGGUUUAAUGUAUAAAUAGAUCAUCAUGUUAGGCUGCUAUCUUUAAACCUUCACUUUGUGAUUUUACAACUUUUUUUUUUGCAAUGGAAUUCUUUUGACCAAAAAAAAAAAAGGAAGAAAAGAGUAAAAAGACCUGUUAUAUCCCCCAUUGCUCGCCCUUAACACAGAUAUCUAGGGUUCAUAUUAACCUGACAAUGGGAGUCAUCCCUCUUAGUUGUAGAUACCAAUCCCUUUCUCCUGGCAGCUUGCCUUCUGUU